UACGUAGGGCGCAAGCGUUGUCCGGAAUUAUUGGGCGUAAAGAGCUCGUAGGCGGUUUGUCGCGUCUGCUGUGAAACCUAAGGCUCAACCUGGGCUUGCAGUGGGUACGGGCAGACUAGAGUGCGGUAGGGUGACUGGAAUUCCGUGGUGAUAGCGGUGGAAUGCGGACAGAUAUCAGGAGGAACACCGAGUGGCGAAGGCAGGUCACUGGGCCG
rnacentral:rRNA from 1 species